rnacentral:rRNA from 1 species
AACGUAGGAGCCAAACGUUAUCCGGAGUUACUGGGCGUAAAGGGCGUGUAGGUGGUAGAGUAAGUCUGGCGUGAAAUUUUUCGGCUUAACCGGGAAAGGUCGUCGGAUACUGCUUAACUAGAGGACGGUAGAGGCGUGUGGAAUUCCGGGUGUAGUGGUGAAAUGCGUAGAGAUCCGGAGGAACACCAGUGGCGAAGGCGACACGCUGGGCCGUACCUGACACUGAUGCGCGACAGCAUGGGGAGCAAACAGG